AUUGAACGCUGGCGGCAGGCCUAACACAUGCAAGUCGAGCGGAUGAAGGGAGCUUGCUCCUGGAUUCAGCGGCGGACGGGUGAGUAAUGCCUAGGAAUCUGCCUGGUAGUGGGGGAUAACGUCCGGAAACGGGCGCUAAUACCGCAUACGUCCUGAGGGAGAAAGUGGGGGAUCUUCGGACCUCACGCUAUCAGAUGAGCCUAGGUCGGAUUAGCUAGUUGGUGGGGUAAAGGCCUACCAAGGCGACGAUCCGUAACUGGUCUGAGAGGAUGAUCAGUCACACUGGAACUGAGACACGGUCAAGACUCCUACGGGAGGCAGCAGUGGGGAAUAUUGGACAAUGGGCGGAAGCCUGAUCCAGCCAUGCCGCGUGUGUGAAGAAGGUGUUCGGAUUGUAAAGCACUUUAAGUUGGGAGGAAGGGCAGUAAGUUAAUACCUUGCUGUUUUGACGUUACCAACAGAAUAAGCACCGGCUAACUUCGUG
rnacentral:rRNA from 1 species